UGUAAAGAGAUGCUAUCCUCUGGACUGAACACUUGAAACGGGAUGUUUCAACUUCUGCCUCAGAAUUCAGUUUUCUCUUGUGACAUCAUCUUGCCCUAAGGCAAUUUCUUUGGGCUCCAGUCUUUGCCUCCUGGCCUUGACCCUACAGCAAAGCACUCUCAAACUCCCUUAACGAGAAAGAGCUAGCGGGUUAUAGGAAAGUUCAUGCAGUCACUUCACUCACUGCCGCACACAAAUCCAUGAGGGCACCACAGGGAAGCAGGCGCUGAGACAAAGGACAGCGUCAGGAGCAAGCAGACUUCCCUCCUGCCAGCACCCCCCUUCCAGCCUCAGGGUCAGAGGUACUUGUGGGGCAGAUGGGUGUACGGGACGGGGGUGACCAGAGGACCAGGACGUGGGCCUGCUCGCCUAGAGAAGGGCUGCACAGAGGUAACCACGGUGGGAGAGAAAGGUCGAAUCUCAGCACAAAAAUUUUCAACAGAGAACUGCCCCGAGGAGGAAUGGACGCGAAGCGUCGUCUGGAGUCUAUGGAAAUUCGGAAAUUCGCUGCGCUGCCGGGCUGCCGGGCACACGGAGGGGCCGGCUGUCCUGCCCUGCCGUCACGCCCGUCCCCGUGCUUCCUCGGCCUGGGAAGCCUACAGAAUGGAGCCGCCCGAUCAGUGCGAGGCACGGGCCAGGGGAGACAGGGCCGCUCUGGCUUCCCAGCCCACCGGACCAGAUAUCCCAAGAGGGAAAGGUCGGUAAAGAAAAUACAAACGGUUAGUUGGUGCAAGUGA